CCCUUAGAUGUUCUGGGCGGCCCGCGCACUACAAUGGCGUGUGCAGCGAGUGCCGAAGUAGAGCUUUCCGAGGUAUUCUUGCAAUGCUCGUUUUGAUGGGGAUAGACCCUUGCAACUGUUGGUUUUGAACGAGGAAUUCCUUGUAAGCAUGGUUUAUCAUCCGACGCUGAAUGCGUCCCUGCCCUUUGUACACACCGCCCGUCGCUCCUACCGAUGAGUCGUCCGGUGAAGUUCGUAGACCUCGUGAUCGCGGAUCACUGGGGGAAGCAAAAUGAACCUCGCGGUUUAGAGGAAGGAGAAGUCGUAACA
rnacentral:rRNA from 1 species